UGGGAUUUUUAGAGUUGGUAAGCACCCUUACGUGUCCCUUUCGUAUUGGAUUUCUCAUUUAUGUCUCUCUCUCGCCUUCGUGCGCGUUUUGAUCCGAAAUCAGUUUUUCUCUUCCCCCUCCUGUCCCGAUCACUCCAUCUUCUCUCCAGAUUCUGAUCUCGAUCUCCUUCUUGAUAAGUAUUCAUUCUCUUUUGGAUUUCCAGUUUUUGUAAUCCAUAGAUCUGUCGAUCUAGUUAGGGUUUGAUUGAUGUUCGUUUGAUUCGAGAGCGUUCGAUUUUGUCGUAUGAUGCCUCCGAGGUUGUUCCACGAGGGUCGACUCAGUCUUGUCCUAGCUCACCAGAGUUUGAUUCUAGUGUGGAUGAUUUAGCUUCUCCGAAGAAGUAUAUUGUGUGGAGCACACAUAUGAACACACACGUCUUGCCUGACUUUCUUGUCUGCAUCAAAACUCCAUUUAACAUCAACCGAAGUCCAAGGAGAUUGAGAUCGCCAUGGAUGCCAUUUCUGUAGUUAAACUUUGUUUUGUUUGUGAUUUAUCAGUCAACCAGGAGCAGAUGAUGUAUGUGAGUCUAAAGUUGGGGCUGAUCUUUUGGACAUCUUUCGUAGAAAGGAAGAAACAUUAGCUCUAGAUGCACGAUUUGGAGAUAGCAAACUAAACCUUGUCUCGCCCUCACUGUCACCAUUAAUCCCAUCUCCAUCUCGUGUAAAAGGAGGAGGUUGUGGUCGAGUAAAGUUUGGGAUUAAAUCUGCAGCUGUUAGAGUAGAAGGAUUCGAUUGCUUAGACAGGGACCGCCAAAACUCAAGCAUACCUGCCAUGGCUUAGGAACGCCAAAACUCAAGCAUACCCACAGGUUUUGUUAUUUAUCCCUUCAAGUAGUUGUUUUCAUUUUUUUGUGGAUUGUGAAUGAUCUUUAUAACUUUCUUUGAUCCUGCCGUUAAACGAACACUCAACGUUUUGAACUUGUCUACCAAUUUUUAUUUAUGCUUUUCUUCCAUAUUUGUUUAAAAUUUAUAAUUAUAAAUUUGUAUUUCUAUUUUUAAUAUG